UGGAGAUGGUUCUGGAGUCGAGAAUUCUAAGUUACCACAUUUCUCUUCGAAUGAUUCAUGGGUGUUCUGUCCAAGUAGGGAUGGGUUGGCAGGAUGCUACCUGAAAUCCUGAAGUCCUGAAGCUGCUUCAUUAUCCUCAUCAACAUUGAGGGUGCCCAUCAAAUUAUAUUAUCUGUAUAUGAGUAAUUAUACGCUUUUAUCCUAAUGUUGUCUCUGAGAUUGAAUAUAGCAAUCUCUGCUACUUAAUGCUCAUAGGGAGGUAAAUGCUCUAUAUGCUCCUGUGCUUCUUCCCAGGUCGUUGACAAGGAGAUGGGCGUAAAGGAAAGUAAUUUCUCUAUUGUAUGGUAGUUUUUAAUGGCAUUGUAGAAUUCAGGUCACGUCUCUAUAAAUCGUUUAGAUUGUUUUUGGUAGAAUAAUUUAUGCCUGUAUGGUAUGCAAACUGAUCCAUUUCUAUAGUGGAAAUGAAGCGCAAACAAGCUGGACGACUUGCUGCUGUAUA